AAAUGAAUAGACGGGGGCCCGCACAAGCAGUGGAGUAUGUGGUUUAAUUCGAAGCAACGCGAAGAACCUUACCAGGGCUUGACAUCCCUCGAAUAGAUUAGAGAUAAUCUAGUCCUUCGGGACGAGGAGACAGGUGGUGCAUGGUUGUCGUCAGCUCGUGUCGUGAGAUGUUGGGUUAAGUCCCGCAACGAGCGCAACCCCUGUUGUUAGUUACCAUCAUUAAGUUGGGGACUCUAACGAGACUGCCGGUGACAAAUCGGAGGAAGGUGGGGACGACGUCAAAUCAUCAUGCCCCUUAUGUCCUGGGCUACACACGUACUACAAUGGCCACUACAGAGGGAAGCUAAGCUGUAAAGUGGAGCAAACCCCUAAAAGUGGUCCCAGUUCGGAUUGUGGGCUGCAACUCGCCCACAUGAAGCCGGAAUUGCUAGUAAUGGCAGGUCAGCAUACUGCCGUGAAUACGUUCCCGGGCCUUGUACACACCGCCCGU
rnacentral:rRNA from 1 species